CUUUCUUCUUUUUUAUGUUUCAAAAAUAACAAUAUUAAUCAUUGUCAUUAGAUUCAAAUUCCUUUUUUAUCCCUAUAAUUUCUCUUUUUAUAAUCAUUCUCGUAACUCGAUUGUGUAUAGCCUUAUUCGUACGGAAUAUUGCUGGAUUGGGAUUUUUCUGUGAUUUGAGCUGGUCUUCUUCCAUGGAAGAUGACAAGGUUUUUUGGCUGUGUGUUUGUGAGCUUUGAAGAGGGAAGUGAACGAGUCUUUGUGAAGCCCAAAGUUUACCCAUUGGGGAGCCCUUACAUAAGUCAGGAAUGAUCAUUCUCACUUUUCUUCUUUCCCUUUUAAGUUUUUAGGUGUAACCCACAAAUAAUUGAGAAGAUUUUUAUUCAUUUUCGAUGGUUGGGUCUCUUCAACAUUUUUGAGAUGGUUCAUUUUCGACCUAGUAAGGCCACAUGUGUUAUAUUCGCCUACAUAUCUUGUGAGGUUGGUUUUUUUUGUUGGACAAUUGUUUGAGCUAAAAUGCAAGAAAACUUGCAUCGAUGUGGCCAAUGCCAAGUCAAAUACACUCUGCUACCUGAAGUUAGUACACCAGUAUUUAGUAAAGCUAAACACACGAAAUGUUAGAUACCUUGUAAGGUGGUUUGGUUUGAGGAGAUUAUUUGUAUGCCUCAUUGUUGUCUGACAUUCACUUCGAUCAUGUUCAAUGCUGGCAAUGUCAGUAUGAGUGGAGUUAUCGAGAAGGCAAGUUUCAAGACUAGUGUGAGUUGGAUUCGUUCAUUUCCUCUCCCUUAAACAGAAACAAACUCGACUAAGCCAUCCCAGGAAUCGAGUUCUUAUUUUCUUACUUUGGAACAUGUUUGUUUCUCAAAGUUUACUUGGGGUUGAGCCUUGCCUAGAACAACUUUCUAACAUAAUCAAACAUUAAUUUGAAGAUAAAAAAAUUAUAGGGGAGAUCACUUGUGUAGACGGUUGUAGAGCAAUUUAUUUAAUUUUUCUUUUCUGGUCUAUCAUCUAUCUUCAUCUCAAAUGUAAGAAGAGAACCCAUAAGUUCAUAAACUUUCAUUGUAGCAAUAUCUUAAGCUUCUUCUAUCGCAAUGACUUUCAUACCAAACCUCUUAGGUAGGCAUCAGAGAACUUUUCUAACUAGUUUUUCUUCAGACAAUUUUUCUUCCCGGAGCAAUUGUUUCAUUUGCUAUAUCUAGUAGAUGAACAUUAAAAUCAUAUAAUAGAUACAUCAUUGAGCAUCUUCAAGUUUUCAACUUUGGUCUUAAGAAGUUGAAGUAUAUUAACAUCUUAACUUUAGAAGUUCCCUCAUGCGCUACUCCCAAUAUAUCCCAAGCCUUUUUACUAGAACUACAUGUAUUAUAAGAUGAAAAACAUUUUUGUCUACACCAUUGAAUAUUGUAUUUAGAACACACAAGUUUUCUAGAGAAACUUCAUCUUCCUCCCCAGUCCCCAGUCCAUUCUCUUUCACCAUUCUGGUUUGUAACCUCUAGGUAAGUUAAGCUAGUAACUAUUGAUUUUCAAGUUUUGUUAUCAAUAGAUUUGAGAAACACAAUCAUACGUGCCUUCUAGUGGAAUAAUUUGUUCCAUCCAAAAUAAGGGGUCAAGUGGUAGAUCCACCUUCUUUAAUAGUAUCCAUAUCGACCACAAGACAAGCUUAGGAUCGUGAUAGGUGAUAUUUAGAAAGUAGAGCCCAACUCUGAUAGCAAUUGAAAAAUAGAUGAAUCUAGUACUGUUCACUCAUCAGCCACAAUGUCAUAACAAACCAAAUGAAAAGUAUGUGCAUUAAAUAAAAAGUAGAUAUAACGAGACACGAAGAUUGGUAACCCAGUUUGGUGCAAAAUCACCUACUCUAGGGAGCAGUGUGCUCAGUGGAAAGAAACUUCACUAAUAAAAGUGUCAAUUAUAAUAUAGUACUUAUCUGUUAGAUUCCAUCUACAGUGACUCACUUACAACCAACUCCUCAUUUUCAACUUAUGCUUUCUUUAAGUUUGAAAUUCCUUUACUUUCACAAGAACCCUUCACUCGAGCUAUGUUUGAGAUCCCCUCAAACCAACUUACUUAGGUUCCUCGUAAGUAUAAGCUCCCUUCAUCUCCACGAUAUAUGUGGCUUCUCUCAAAUAAAUAUGAGAAAGCAAUGAAACUUAGGAUCCUUUAAGUAUUCUAUGAUCUCUUCAGCACUCACAUGUAAAUCAACAAGUAGAAACCCUUUCAGCUUAUUCUACAUAACCAUGGAUAACACACUUCAAUAGUAAGGGUCACACAACUGCUCACAACUUUGAAAAUAGUCUAAGAACAAAAGAAAUCUUUUGCACAAGACAUAAGGAAAGCAAGGUCGCAAAUCUGCAUGAAUAAGAAAAAUAUUUUUAGAUAGAUUCUACAUUCUAGAUAACAAGUUGCUUGAUAAGAUGCAAAACAUUUUACUUGUAAAAAAUCUGCCAACCAUUCUAUAGUAAUAUAAAACAAGAGAUUCGAUAAAAAUAAAGUUGUAUCUCAUGUUUUCAUAUAUGUGUUUGGUUGUAGAUUAUGGGAAUGUAUACUUAGUCCUCUUAGUUGGAGAGUCUUUAGCAUGGUUAGAGCUUUUGUAGGCUUUAUUCUUAGACUGUUAGUGUAGUAUUUAUACUUCUGUAUACUUCUUGUAAAUACAUAUUUUUAAUAAAUAAUAUUUUAACAUGGUAUUAGAGCUCUUUUUCUCAUAACUUCUCUUUACUUCAAAUCUGUCUGGUGGAUGUCUCCUCAGAUUCGACGAGUUAACUUGCUUCCGUGCACUUUUAAAUCCGAUGAGCUUCAACGCAACCCUCUGUUCUCUGUGCACCUCCUCUGAACGCAGAACCAACCCGAGUCGAUCCUUCUUUGUACACAAUUUGUCCAUGUGAGUUCCUCCUCUGUACAAAACCCGAGUUUCUCCGAUGAGCUUUGAUGCAAGCCUUCCAGCUCCUCUGUUCCAUGUCCGGUCAAGCCUUCUAGAUUUGGUGCUUCCAGAUCCAGUGUGCUUUCAGAUUUGAUGCGAUCCAAGUCGAUCCGAUCCAAGUCGAGCCAAGCCGAUCCUGUUAAGCCGAGUCGAGCCAAUCUUAUUAAACAGAGCUGAGCCGAUCUUGUCAAGCCGAGCUAAGCCGAUCCUGUCAAGCCGAGUCGAGCCGAUCCUAUCAAGCCGGUCGUUUUCUCCAACUACUUAACAAACUCAGGUUGAUUCCAACCUUACCACCUUAAGUUUGAGGGAGGAUGCGAAUGUAUACUUAGUUAUCUUAGUUGGAGAGUCUUUAGCAUGGUUAGAGCUUUUAAGGCUCUAUUCUUAGACAGUUAGUGUAGUAUUUAUACUUUUGUACACUUCUUGUAAAUACUUUUGAUAAAUACAUACUUUAACAAAUUCAAAAA